UGGGUUCUCUAUCCGCAUGGUAGAAUGGAGAGAUUAAUCUUGGGUGUUGUCAUUUUAUCACAAGCAAGGUCGUAAGCCAGGAGGUCAGUCCAAUAUGAAGGUAACAGUAUAACAGAACUUAGACAUAAGCAUUGUUGGUUUUACUGUGAGCAAGAAAGCAAGUUUAGCAAGCCAAGAAGUCAAUCUGAGAAAUGAGCUACAGUGCAAAGGGAAUAGAACUUUAGGGAAAGUUCCCAUAAGAGCAAUGCCAAGGUCAGGAGCCAGGAAUCAGUUUACUGAGCAAGUUACAAAAGAGGUAUAGGAGCUGACACUGCAAGGGAACAAGUACACACAAGCGCAACAGGUUUGUUG